GGGAAGCAUAAAUGGUGACUCUGUUACAGCCCUGUUCUUUGUCUUUCCUUUCAGGAAGUCAAGGCAGGGCGCAGCAGUCAAGGCUGAGUGGGCAAGGUGGUCCACUUGCUAUCUAUCAUGGCCAAGCACGCCCAUGCCAGGUGCUGUCGCUGCCCUAGGCAUGCCAAGGAACAGACGAGAGCAGGCGUCUUCUGGGCAGCUUCCGGAGUCAAAUCAAGAUUUGAGG